UGGGUGUGAGUAUUACAUCAGGUACUGGUGUGAUAUUCAGACAACCAGUACUUGUGUUAUACUUACGCUCA
rnacentral:pre_miRNA from 11 species